CCCAAGGGAGGUGGGGGACACUGGCCAAGCUGCUCCUUUAGCUGCCAACAUGGACACAUGCAGGCUGCUGAUCAGAAAUGGACCCACCGUUUGUGACUCUUCCCAAACGGUGGGGAUCCCAAGAACCCCCCCCCCAGGAAAAGCCAAGACAACUUCAUCUCCUUUCCUACCACCCUACUUUCAGGAGGCGCAGAUGCCACCCUGCCCGUCAGGAGGCUGGUCCACCUACCUCCGCCGGCCCCCGGGCCUCAGCCCUAGAGGUGGAGGCGUCCCGAACUGCAAAGCUGGCCUGGCCUCCCACCCCUGCUGGAGAGGCCCCCAGACCCUACCUCCUCCCUUCUGGUUCCUGCACAAGGCAGUCUCAGCAUCCCGGCUCCCAGCCCCACUGUUUCCUCCCUGCCGUCAGCACCCCUGCCCCAAACUCCCAUGGAAGCCUGCACUUUUUCAGAGCCUCUGAGCGCCUGACUCCCCACCCUUGCCCUGAUCUCGCCCUAGUCCUACAGGCUCACUCAGCCGCCCCUGGCUCCCGACCCCGAACGCCCCAGCUGCUCCCUAAGGGCCAAGGACUCCGGUUUGCGGGCUCUGGGUUGGCCCCCAAACCCUCCCGGAGGCCUCCCGCCCUCUCUUACUCUCCGGGGCACCCCCAAAGCGCCCCCCUCCCUCACCUGGGCCGGGUGGGCUGGCGCCGGACAGUUGUCCCGUUCAAGCCGCGGACGGAUUCCACUCGCCGCCGCUCCCGGCUCCCCAGAUCUAUAUAUGGCGUUCCCCUCCUCCCGCCCGUCCCGAGAAACUUCUGGAAAGUUGGAAACGCUUCCGGAGGGCGCCCCGGCUCAGCCAAAAAAAAAAAAAAAAAAAAAAAACAGCCAAAGACCUCCCCCAGACCGCCCUGGCUGCCGCCCCUCCCCCUGCGCGCUCUCACCCUCUCACGCGGCCACUGGGUCCUACUGCCCCCCAAUAGGGGGGGCGCGCUGGGAACCCCCAGCAGAGAGGCCGGGCACCGGACCGCACGACCUGCGCUGCGCGUGGACACUGUGGAGACUCCGGACUUUUCCGGUUCUGGAGGCCACAGUUCCUUCUUUGGCUGUGAAAUGUGGUGCUGUCAUUCGUUGCUUCCUUCCCACCUGUGCUACAGAUACAGCUGAGAAAAGGACAAAGUCCCUGCCCUCAAGGAUGUACAUGAUGAGAAGGAAACGUGCAGGGUGCGAUUUCUUCUUGCCACCCUACUCCCUGCCAGUUGACAAACACAGGCACAGAGCUCCUGACCCCAGCCGGGGGCUCCGUCCAUUGUACCAGCUCUUCCGUGGCUCCCACUGGUCCCUGGAGAAAGUCCAAGCCCCUUCUUUGCCCUGGUCACCUUGCAUCAGGAGUGCCAGUUUGCAAAGACAGUUCUAGAUGUCAGAAGACUAAAAUGCAUCCGCGGGCUGUGUAUCUUCUGGGGCCUCUAGGCGCAAAUCUGUUUCCUUGCCCUUUGGAGCUUCUGGAAACCGCCUGCAUGGCUUGACCUGUGGCCCCUUCCUCCAUCUUCAAAGUCUAGAAUGAGACCCUUCUUUCAAGCUAGUCCUGCCUCAGAAAAUGGAAACCUGAAGAGGGCGCUGCUCUCCCUCCAUGACCAUCACCGGCUGCUGGCUGUGGCCCCUCCAGAGUGGAGUGCAGAGCAGGAAAGAGGGCAGAAAAGGCCCUCCUUGCCUGAUACGGUUGUAACCCAGCCUGGGGACACUCUGGCCAUGGCGGAUGUCCCAAGUUGAUCUUAAUUCAUGGGAUUCUCCCAGAGAUUUUUCAGGAAACCUCCUCCUCUGGGGAUCUCUCACCUGGAUUUCCCCUGAUGAGGCAGGGCCUCUUCUGGCUUGCAACUUCCCUGUUGCUUUCCAGCUGUCCCCGCUCUGUUGGGAUCUCCUCACCGCCCCCAAAGUGGUCCUCGGGCAGAGGAACACCAGCUCAGACAGGCAGGCCCCCAUCAGGUCCCCCGGAUAAUCAGGCAUCCUCUGUCCAGUCUACCCAGGCAGCGAGCCGUUCCCAGCGGAGCCCAGGCCCUCCCCGCUCUGCCGCCACGCACAGCCCCUUGCUAUGAGAGACUGUGUGUGAGAGCACUUCUGGUCCCCGUGUCUCCCAAAGUCAAGGCUCACGUGUCAAGCUCUCUGAACAGUGCUCCGGAAACCCUCCUCACUUGACUUCGAGGAGAGAAGAGAAGCAGAGCGGAAUGACAAGUUUCUCUUGUGGGUGGGUGAGGGCCAGAGGCUGGCAGGACACGUCUGGGAGAAUACCCUCUGCUGGUCCUACAGGGUGGGCUGAUCCUCCAUUGAGGAAUCUGGGUACCGGGACCCUCUUGUCCACAGCUUUUGGAGCCCUGGUUAGACACCAGCCACAGGACGAGCCUUGUUCCCACCCCCACCCUAUCACAGGACUAGAGAACCGCAGACAGAGAGCUGCUCCUUCGUCACCUGGAUUUGCCUGGUAAAAACUUGCUCCUCGGCAAGCCUCCACGCAAGCUCUGCCGGCUCCGGGAUGACCUCCCUGAUUGCCCCAUGGAGCGCCCUGAGUGCUCCCACUGUAUCUCCCUGGUGCUCCCACUGUAUCUUGUUCUCUCCUCCAUUAGAACGUUUUUUUUUUUUUUUUUUUUUUUUUUACUUUUGAAAGCUGUCUGUUGCCAUGGUUCCUCAUCGGAUUGUGAGUUCCUUGAAGAACCCCUGUUCUUCGAGUUUAUCACUGGGUCCCUGGGACCCUGGGACCCUGGGUCCCUGGGUCACUGUGUCCCGAGUUUAUCACUGGGUCCAGCACAAAGGCUGCCUGACACAAACGAGGGGUGACGCAAGAACAGCAGCGAUGACAACCUUCGCUGAGUGUUGCCUGUGUGCCAGGCCCUGUGCCAGGCUUCAUGGUGCAUUGUCACAUUAAUCUUGCACAGUCUUAUGUGGUAGGUACCAUUCUCCCUAUUUGUCAGAUGGGAAAACUGAGGCUCUGAAGGUGAAAUCACUGGCCAAGCUCACAUGGAUAGCAAGCAGGAGAGCCAGGGUUUGACACAAGUCCCCCUGAGUAUGGAGCCCCUUGUCCUGUACUGAUUCGGAGCUCAC